rnacentral:lncRNA from 1 species
CUCGCACUCAGUGGACAGCAGAGCGCCCCUGAGCAGCCUCGGUAUCUGCAGAUGCACAAGGCUGGCUGGGGCAGAAGCAGGGGAGGGAGGGGCUCUGAGGAAGGCGCCUGCGUCCCCACAGAUCAAUCACUUGAUGUUUGACAUGACCUGCAAACGUUUUAUUUGCAAAAUACAGAGAGUAGACGACAGGAAGUAGCGGCUUACACCUGUAAUCCCAGCACUUAUGGAGGCCAAGGCGGGAGGAUCCCUUGAGCUCAGGAGUUGGAGACCAGCCUGGACAACAAAGUGAGACCCUGUCUCUACAAAAAAAUACAAAAAUUAGCUGGGUGUGGUGGUGCGCACCUGUGGUCCCAGCUAUUGGAGAGGCUGAGGUGGGAGGAUUGCUUGAGCCUGGGAGGUGGAAGCUGCAGUGAGCUGAGAUAAUGUCACUGCACUCCAGCCUGGGCAACAGAGUGAGACUCUGUCUCAAAAAAAGUUGAGGCCGGGCAUGGUGGCUCACAUAUGUAAUCCCAGCACUUUGGGAGGCCAAAGUGGGCAGACCACCUGGCCAACAUGGUGGAAACCUGUCUCUACUAAAAAUACAAAAAUUAGCCAGGGGUGGUGGCCUGCGCGCCUGUAGUCCCAGUUACUCGGGAGGCUGAGGCAGGAGAAUCACUUGAACCCAGGAGGUGGAGGUUGCAGUGAGCUGAGAUCGCGCCACUGCACUCCGGCCUGGGCGACAGAGCGGGACUCUAUCUCAAAAAAAAAAAAAAAAAACAGUAACAUAAUUGUAGAAAUAAAACCUCACCGAUGAGUUGAAUGACA